rnacentral:rRNA from 1 species
GAAAGCACUUCGGUGCGAGUACAGUGGCGGACGGGUGAGUAACGCGUAGGAAUCUACCUAGUAGUGGGGGACAACUCGGGGAAACUCGAGCUAAUACCGCAUACGCUCUAAGGAGGAAAGUGGGGGAUCUUCGGACCUCACGCUAUUAGAGGAGCCUGCGUUAGAUUAGCUAGUUGGUGAGGUAAAGGCUCACCAAGGCUACGAUCUAUAGCUGGUCUGAGAGGACGAUCAGCCACACUGGAACUGAGACACGGUCCAGACUCCUACGGGAGGCAGCAGUAGGGAAUCUUGGGCAAUGGGCGAAAGCCUGACCCAGCGAUGCCGCGUGUGCGAAGAAGGCCUUAGGGUUGUAAAGCACUUUCAGUUGCGAAGAAAAGCUGCGAUUUAAUACAUCGCGGUCUUGACGUUAACAACAGAAGAAGUACCGGCUAACUCCGUGCCAGCAGCCGCGGUAAUACGGAGGGUACGAACGUUAAUCGGAAUUACUGGGCGUAAAGCGCGCGUAGGCGGUUUGAUAAGUGGGAUGUGAAAGCCCCGGGCUCAACCUGGGAACUGCAUUCCAAACUGUCAGACUAGAGUGUGGUAGAGGGAGGUAGAAUU